AGACCCCUUAGAGAUGAUGAGGUUGAUAGGUCUGGUGUGGAAGCGUGGUGACACGUGGAGCUGACAGAUACUAAUCGGUCGAGGGCUUAUCCUU
rnacentral:rRNA from 2 species